GAUGAUAUAAAAUGCAUGCAUCAAGAUCAUUGCAUAUUGAAUGAAAAAGAUUUGAAAUCAUAUAUAACAAGUGAAUAUCAAAAACAUUUUGGAAUAUCACAGUGAGCUCAAGAGUAGAGUGCAAGGAAAAACUAUAAUGAGAAAGAAGAAAAAAAAUUUAAAAACCUAAUGGUUUUAUAAUUACCCUGCGUAUUGCAUGUAGAUGA
rnacentral:misc_RNA from 1 species